rnacentral:rRNA from 1 species
UACAGAGGGGGCAAGCGUUGUUCGGAAUUACUGGGCGUAAAGGGCGCGUAGGCGCCUUCUAAGUCGAACGUGAAAUCCCCGGGCUCAACCCGGGAACUGCGUCCGAUACUGGAAGGCUUGAAUCCGGGAGAGGGAUGCGGAAUUCCAGGUGUAGCGGUGAAAUGCGUAGAUAUCUGGAGGAACACCGGUGGCGAAGGCGGCAUCCUGGACCGGCAUUGACGCUGAGGCGGCGAAAGCCAGGGGAGCAAAGCGGGAGUUAAGAA